rnacentral:rRNA from 1 species
GACGAACGCUGGCGGCGUGCUUAACACAUGCAAGUCGAACGGAAAGGCCCUGCUUUUGUGGGGUGCUCGAGUGGCGAACGGGUGAGUAACACGUGAGUAACCUGCCCUUGACUUUGGGAUAACUUCAGGAAACUGGGGCUAAUACCGGAUAGGAGCUCCUGCUGCAUGGUGGGGGUUGGAAAGUUUCGGCGGUUGGGGAUGGACUCGCGGCUUAUCAGCUUGUUGGUGGGGUAGUGGCUUACCAAGGCUUUGACGGGUAGCCGGCCUGAGAGGGUGACCGGCCACAUUGGGACUGAGAUACGGCCCAGACUCCUACGGGAGGCAGCAGUGGGGAAUAUUGCACAAUGGGCGGAAGCCUGAUGCAGCAACGCCGCGUGCGGGAUGACGGCCUUCGGGUUGUAAACCGCUUUCGCCUGUGACGAAGCGUGAGUGACGGUAAUGGGUAAAGAAGCACCGGCUAACUACGUGCCAGCAGCCGCGGUGAUACGUAGGGUGCGAGCGUUGUCCGGAUUUAUUGGGCGUAAAGGGCUCGUAGGUGGUUGAUCGCGUCGGAAGUGUAAUCUUGGGGCUUAACCCUGAGCGCGCUUUCGAUACGGGUUGACUUGAGGAAGGUAGGGGAGAAUGGAAUUCCUGGUGGAGCGGUGGAAUGCGCAGAUAUCAGGAGGAACACCAGUGGCGAAGGCGGUUCUCUGGGCCUUUCCUGACGCUGAGGAGCGAAAGCGUGGGGAGCGAACAGGCUUAGAUACCCUGGUAGUCCACGCUGUAAACGGUGGGUACUAGGUGUGGGGUCCAUUCCACGGGUUCCGUGCCGUAGCUAACGCUUUAAGUACCCCGCCUGGGGAGUACGGCCGCAAGGCUAAAACUCAAAGGAAUUGACGGGGCCCCGCACAAGCGGCGGAGCAUGCGGAUUAAUUCGAUGCAACGCGUAGAACCUUACCUGGGUUUGACAUGGAUCGGGAGUGCUCAGAGAUGGGUGUGCCUCUUUUGGGGUCGGUUCACAGGUGGUGCAUGGCUGUCGUCAGCUCGUGUCGUGAGAUGUUGGGUUAAGUCCCGCAACGAGCGCAACCCUUGUUCACUGUUGCCAGCACGUUAUGGUGGGGACUCAGUGGAGACCGCCGGGGUCAACUCGGAGGAAGGUGGGGAUGACGUCAAGUCAUCAUGCCCCUUAUGUCCAGGGCUUCACGCAUGCUACAAUGGCUGGCACAGAGAGUGGCGAGCCUGUGAGGGUGAGCGAAUCUCGGAAAGCCGGUCUCAGUUCGGAUUGGGGUCUGCAACUCGACCUCAUGAAGUCGGAGUCGCUAGUAAUCGCAGAUCAGCAACGCUGCGGUGAAUACGUUCCCGGG